rnacentral:lncRNA from 1 species
AGGGGAGGAGGGAGGGAGAUAUAAACCAAAUAAAUAAAUGUAAUUACAAAGAAAGAAAGAAAGAAAGAAAGAAAGAAAGAAAGAAAGAAAAAGAAAGAAAGAAAGGAGGAAAAGAGGGAGGGAGGGGGAGGGAAGGAAGGAAGGAAGGAAGGAAGGAAGGAAGGAAGGAAGGAAGGAAGGAAGGAAAAGGAAGGAAACCAGGGGGUAGCAUGUUCCUUUAAUCCCAGCACUCAGGAGUCAGAGGCAGGUGGAUCUCUGCCAGUUUGUAGUCAUUCUGGUCUACACAGUGAGUUCCAGAACAUCUAGGGAUGCAUAAUAUGACUCCAUUUCAAAAAAGUUAAAAGAAGAAAAAAAAAAAGAACAUCGGGAUCCUGAUCACUGCCUGCCCUGUUAACCGAGCCACCAACCAGAGAGCGAGCAUGGGGCUGAGCCACGCCCUCUGCACAUACGUAACAGCAGUGCACCUUGGUCUCCUGUUGGACUCCUAAGAGCAGGAGCAGGGGCUGUCUCUGACUCUGUUGCCUGCCUUUGGAACUCUUGCCUUAACUGGGCUGCCUAGUCUACCAAUCCUCAACAGAAGGAUCUGAGCCUUGGAGUUCACUGAUUCAUCAAAACUAGCUGACCAGCAAGCUCUAGGAAUUCUGCUGUCUCUACCUCCCUAGUGCUGGGAUUAUAGGCAUGUACCAUCAAGUCCUGGUUUUUACAUAGAUGGAUCUAACCCAAGGUACCUUACCAACUGAACCAUCUCUUUCUAGCCCUCUAAUUUAUGUCUUGUUUUAUAAUUUUUUUUUAACUGAAGGCUUUUUUUUUUUUUUUUGACAGGAUUUCUCUGUGUAGCCCUGGCUGUCCUGGAACUCACUCUAUAGACCAGGCUGGCUCGAACUCAGAAAUCCGCCUGCCUCUGUCUCCCAAGUGCUGGGUUUAAAGGCUAGCCGAAGGCUCUUAACUAUCAGAUACUUACCUUGAAUUUGCUAUGCAGCUAAAGAUGGCACUGAAUGCCCUGCCACUAAAGCAUUGGUUCUCAACCCAUGGGUCCAGACCCCCAGAGGGGUCACACAUCAGAUAUUUACAUUACAAUUCAUAACACCAGCAACAUUACAGUUAUAGAGUAUCAAGAAAAUAAUGUUAUGGUGGGGGGGGGGUCACCACACCAUGAGGAACUGUAUCAAAGGGUCGCAGCAUUAGGAGGUUGAGAACCGUUGUUGUAUCGGCAUCAUAGAUGUAUUCCACCAUCCCUGGCUAUGUGGUACUGGCGAAGAGAACCAGGCUUUCCUGAACACGAGUUCAACUCUACCAACCGAGCUACAUACAUCUCAAUCCCCUAAUUCCAGUUUUGAUAUUAAGACUUUAAAAACCAAGCUGGGAGGCCGGUGAGAUGCCUCGGUGGUUAAGAGCAUUGACUGCUCUUCCACAGCUCCUGAGUUCUAUUCCCAGCACCCACAUGGCCGAUCAUACCUGUCUGUAACUCCAGGUCUAGGGGAUUGACACCCUCACGCCAACACAUAAAAAAACAAAAAUAAAUUAUUUUUUAAAAAAACUAAAUUAAAAACCGAGCUGGGCACAGUGGCCAAUAUGUUUAAUCUCAACACUGGGGGCAUUGAGGCAGGUGGGUCUCUGUAAAUUCAUGGCCUGCUUGCUCUCCAGAAAGAGUUCCAGGCCAGCCAGAGCUACACAGUAAGACUUUGUCUCAAAAUAACAACAAGCCCGUGGCUUAUCUUUUCAAAGCGCCAGGCCGUCCCAGGGUAAGUAGAUGAUCAGAAGUGCCACGUGAGCCUCUUUCUCCAUCCAGGCCUAGGCCAGCUUGGGUCACUGCGCAGCCAGCCUGUCGAGCAGAGCAGAGCAGAGCAGAGGACUGCUGCUGCCCGCCCACCCGAGGCACUCCCAACCUUCUGCUGAGACUGUGUCUGUGGCGUCACGCUCCCUCUCAGAACACACCUUCCACAGAGCAAAGCAUCUCUGACCUUCAAAGAACCAGACACACCUGGAUUUUCACUUCAGCCCAAAUGAGGCAACAGAGCCAUUC